AGAGAGAGACAUGCGCGCAUAUCAAUAAGCGGAGGAAAAGGAACUAACUAGGAUUCCCUUAGUAACGGCGAGUGAAGCGGGAAGAGCUCAAAUUUGAAAUCUUCAAGGUUCUACCUUGACGAAUUGUAGUUUAAAGAAGUGUUUUUCUGUUGGAGUUUUGGUAAAAGUUCUUUGGAAUAGGACAUCAUAGAGGGUGAGAAUCCCGUAUUUGACCAUUUCUUCCAGCUGUGUGAUACACUUUCAAAGAGUCGGAUUGUUUGGGAAUGCAGUCCAAAAUGGGUGGUAAAUUUCAUCUAAAGCUAAAUAUUGGCGAGAGACCGAUAGCGAACAAGUACCGUGAGGGAAAGAUGAAAAGAACUUUGAAAAGAGAGUUAAACAGUACGUGAAAUUGUCAAAAGGGAAGCGUUUGACACCAGUGUUGUUUUCUCGAAAAUCAAUUAAAAAAGACUGGAUUUUGUGUUGUAUUGACUUUAUCAGCUUUCUGCACUCUUUUUCAUGUCUUUUCUUAAUGCACUUUUCGUUUAACAAGUCAACAUCAAUUUCUUUUGUUGUAAAAGGGUCAUUGGAAGGUGGCUUUCUUUUCGGAGAAAGUGUUUAUAGCCUUUGUACCUCUGCAAUCGGAGAGAUUGAGGUCUGCAGCGUAGAUCCUUCGGGGUUAGAUACAUUUGUGCUAAGUUAUAGCCUUUUCAUAGACAACUUGUUGACUAUGAUCAGUCAUGUAGCUUACAUCGCUUAUGCUAUUUUACCUACGCUUAGGAUGUUGACAGCAGUAUAGACUGU
rnacentral:rRNA from 1 species